rnacentral:rRNA from 1 species
UACGUAGGUGGCAAGCGUUAUCCGGAUUUACUGGGUGUAAAGGGUGCGUAGGCGGAAUAUCAAGUCAGCGGUAAAAAUUCGGGGCUCAACCCCGUCGUGCCGUUGAAACUGAUGUUCUUGAGUGGGCGAGAAGUAUGCGGAAUGCGUGGUGUAGCGGUGAAAUGCAUAGAUAUCACGCAGAACUCCGAUUGCGAAGGCAGCAUACCGGCGCCCGACUGACGCUGAGGCACGAAAGCGUGGGUAUCGAACAGG